CAGGAUGCGUCCACAGAGCUCGGCAG
rnacentral:piRNA from 1 species